rnacentral:lncRNA from 1 species
UGACUUUCCUGGACCUCCAGCUUGCAGAUGGCAGAUCCCGGGGCUUCUCAGCCUCCGUAAUCAUGCUGCAUGGGCCUCACAGGUGCCUCAUAGAAGGAAACGAAUUCACUCUGCUGACUGCGUGUUCAUGGUGCCGGAGGAUUUCAUGAGCACCCUGGACAGCAAAUCCUGUUAAAGUGGGAAUUCCUCAGGUGAGAAAACACUACCCAGGGACUAUGCCCCCGUCACCAUUGUCAUGUCUGAGACUAUCUAGAUGCUGAGUCUGGUCCAUUUACAAUCCAGCAUAGCCACAAGUUUACCACAAUGCUGCAAAGGGACAUGCUGCUCAUCAGUAAAAUAAAACCUAG